AAGAGCGCCAAGGGGACACUCUGCCUGUUCCCUGUUGAAGGUUUCACUGCUGUUGACCUUGGGUUGAUACAUCAGAAGAAAGAUCGUCUGCUUGACGUGGUCCUGAGUCAUCACGCCAGGAGAGCAUCAUUGGCUGAGGAUCGGAGUGGUGGGGACCUCGCGGAGGAGGCAAGAUUUCAUCAUGCUACUCAGGAGGACCACUAUGAUGGAUGUUACAGCAGCCCUGGACCAAGCUGGAAAAGUAGCCAGUUCUUUGGAAGAGGUUUUCAGAAG